GUCCCGGCCACGCUCGAGGCCUGCUGCGCCUGAAAUGUCCCCGCGCCCUCUCCGCCUGUUCUGCGAGGCCCUCUCCAGAUCAAGUCCUGGGGACACGUUUUCUCAGACCCUUCUCAGGAAGGUCGCGUCGCGGCUCGGAGCGGGAGACGCAGCAGAAUCACCUGGCCUGCUUCUCUGCCCAGGCGGCUCCAGAAAGAGGGAGGAGAGACCAGAUUCACUUUUAAGCUUUUAAAAGCCCCAGUUUUCUCCCCCAGACCCAACUCUUGUUAACAAGUUAGCGCACACCUGUGUGCACUCGCCUUCCGAUGUGGACCCGCGAACCUGCUUGAGGGAAGGGGCUCAGAAGGAGUGGGCAGCAGGGCCGGUGGGUUUCCUGGGGUACAGCAGAAGGAAACGGAAGCCUGAGUAAAGGCUAGAAGUCGCUGUGGGAGAAACUCCACAGGUUUAAAGUCAAAGGUGAACAGAAUGCCAAGCUUGGUGGAUAACAUCUCAGGCUCAUAGAAACGACUCUCUAAGGGGAUGAAAUGCCUGGCUUUUAGUAGCUGGCUUCUCAGUGUAACAUUGUUUUGAAAAGCUGACAUGGUCAGGUGCAGUGGCACAUGCCUGAAAUCCAAGCUACUCAGGAGGCUUAGGCAGGAGGAUGGCAAACCUGGCAACUUAGUAAGGGCUGGGGAUGUAUCUCCAUGGUAGACUGCUCCUGUGUUUAAUGCCCAGUUCCCCAACAAAAUUCUGGAUUCCCCAACAAUUCUGGAUUCUACAACCCUCACUGAAUUGGAGAAGAUAAUUUUAAGCUACAUAAGCAACAGUGGGAUUUAUGGAAUUUAUCAUAGGGAAUGAUUAUAAUUUUCCUAGUAACAACUUCACAGAUGAGAAUGGCAGCCAAUUAGUAGUGUUCCGAGACUAAAGUUUGAAUAUUUUAAUAUAGACGGAUUUUACAUGCCACCUGGAACCCUGUGACCUAUCUCCCAGAACAGGACAUUGGGACAGUCUUCGUUUGCUCUGUUUCCCCAAAGGAAUGCCUGAAGACGCCUGUAUCUGGCCCGGGGAGCAUUCUCCCAAUCUCAAGGCAGACAGUCACUUGCUAGCCAUCAGCUUCUGAAAACCACAGGACUGGGUGGGCAGAGGGGCUUUAAAGCUGAACCACCUGGCCUGUGUCUCAGCUCUGCUGGUCACUGUGGGAUCUUGAACAGGUUACUUAGCUAGGCUCUCAAGGAGUCGCAGUAAAAUACACCAUCGAUAAUGACGUGCCCCAUAAAGCAGAGGACCCGAGGGUGAGCCCGGUGUCCAGGAAGUCCCAUAAAAAUCACACCAACACCCACCUUACUGCUUUAUCAGUCCCCUAGCAGGCACCCCCACUCAAGACACCCAGCCUCCUCCACAGCAAGAAGAAGGCGGGUUAAAAGGCUGAGAACUGGGGUGAGCCAGCCAGAGAGACUGGGGACAACUGAAGGAAGAGAAUAAAGUAUCCUCCACAAAAACUGGAGAGGGUCAAGGAGGUGGACGAUGCUGGGACACUGCCAGGAAAUAAGAAGCACAUCACUACAGCAGAACAGGGACAAGUGCACAGAGAUGCCAGAGCCACUGGGCAGCAGCACAGUAACACACUUCUGGAUGGAGGAUGCCCUUUUGUGCUGGGGGUCAGCCCAGGCUACGGCACGGUGGCUGACCUCUGUGCCAUGCCUAGUUCUAGGGGAAAUGUGAGAGUCUCUGCCGAGGCUUGCUACAUCCCCUGGUGAUGGUAUUUAGGUCCCAGGGGCCCA
rnacentral:lncRNA from 1 species